AUUGAACGCUGGCGGCAGGCUUAACACAUGCAAGUCGAACGAGUGGCGGACGGGUGAGUAAUGCUUGGGAAUCUUGCUUAUGGAGGGGGAUAACUACGGGAAACUGUAGCUAAUACCGCCUACCAUAGGAUGAGCCCAAGUGGGAUUAUGUAGUUGGUGAGGUAAAGGCUCACCAAGCCGACUAUCUCUAGCUGGUCUGAGAGGCUGACCGGCCACACUGGGACUGAGACACGGCCCAGACGCCUACGGGAGGCAGCAGUGGGGAAUAUGGCGCAAUGGGGGAAACCCUAACGCAGCAAGGCCGCGUGAAUGAGGAAGGCCUUAGGGUUGUAAAGUACUUUCAGCGGGGAGGCGUUACCCGCAGAAGAAGCACCGGCUAACUCCGUGCCAGCAGCCGCGGUAAUUC
rnacentral:rRNA from 1 species